AGCCGCAUGACGGGUGGCGGCUUUGGCGGCUGCACGGUGACUUUGCUCGAGGCUUCCGCUGCUCCCCAGGCCAUGCAGCACAUCCAGGCACAGUAUAGCGGUACCGCCACCUUCUACCUCUCCCAGGCCGCCGACGGUGCCCAGGUGCUGCCCUUGUGAGCUCCCCUGGGGUGGCCCACGCGGGCAGGGCCUGCCGGGCAGCAAGCAGGAAGCUCCGUGCCGCUGGCGCCUGCCCUCCGCACCUGAGCGCUCAAUAAACUUGUGCCUCAGACCACA